AUGGAGGACUGGAGAAGUUUAUACUGUGUCAGGCUUUUCAGAGUUGUAUGACAACUUCGAAGUGGUACCACGACCUCGCUAAAAACAAACAAACAAAAAAAUACAAAACAAUGCAUGGCGCAAAGUUAGCAUCGAGAUGGGGCUACCAGCUUUUGAGAAGAUUCACAGGUUGAUGCAUG